GACGAGCCACACGAACGUUAUUCGGAAUUACUGGGCUUAAAGGGUGCGUAGGCGGUGCGGAAAGUUGGGUGUGAAAUCCCUCGGCUCAACCGAGGAACUGCGCUCAAAACUACCGUACUUGAGGAAGAUAGAGGUGAGCGGAACUCACGGUGGAGCGGUGAAAUGCGUUGAUAUCGUGAGGAACACCCGUGGCGAAAGCGGCUCACUGGGUCUUUUCUGACGCUGAUGCACGAAAGCUAGGGGAGCAAACGGG
rnacentral:rRNA from 1 species